CUGUUGGGCUGCUUGUGGGUAUCAGCAGAGAUGACUUUGGAGGGUGACCAAGAGGGGUAUCUGGGGUUGACUCUGGGGCCCCUGUCCCCCUCUCCCCAGUUCUCAUCCAUAUGAGCAAGGGCUUCAUGUUACUGGCCGUGGCCCUGUGCUGAGUCCUCCUCCCGCCCAUGGCCCUCUCCUCCUGGCCAGUGGUCCUCCGCCUGAACAUGGCCGACUUUGUCUUCAGUUUCCUCUGCCUCGGCAUUGUUAACGGCAAGGCGGUGCACCCAAGUCCGGUGGUGUCCUACCUGGUGACCUCCUACCUGUGCUGGGACGCCAGCGACUUGAUGCUGCACUCCGGAGCCGUGUCCUACCUAAGCCCAGUGGGCAUGUGAAGCAGAGGGCAGCCCUUGAAUGCGCGGCGGCUGAGCUACCGCGGGUGGGCCGUGCAGCAGGGCGCAGCGAGGCGGACAUCCAAACAGCGGAACUCAGACGCUGACUCCGAGCGCACCCCGGGCCUUCCCAUUUCAUACACCCUCGAGGAUGAGACCCAAGCACCUCCAAGGAAUAGCACCCGAGGUCUUCAGGACACCGACCGGUAGCCAUGGCCAGAUGCCCGGCCAACCCCUUCAGCGUGGCCACGCCCUGGAUAUUCGACCUCCCCUGAGGCCCCACCCCCUGAUAUCAGGCCACGCCCUCCGAGGGGACCGGUGGCAAACUCCAGCCCUCGCUCUAGGGCCCGCCCUUUGCGGCUUUGUCCCUGCCCACUGGGUCCUCACAGUACCUCCACCCCAGAGGCCCAGCAUCCCCUCCCGUUCUGCAGACACUUGUCCAGCGUCCCGCUGAGCUCGGCAGUGUGGCUAGUUUGUGUGGCCCUGCCCCUGGUGCCCAGCCAGGGUGGUCUGCAUGGAACUUCUUUCCCGGAGUUCCGGCCUCAGCUCCGAUGUCCACCCUUGUCCCCAGGUGGACACAGCACCGCCCAGCAUUUGGUGCAACUCCACCCUUCUGCAGAACGGGCCCCUCCCUGGGAAGGCAUGGCUUGCAAUAACAUCCCUCUGUACCUUUUCUGGCUUCCCCGCCACAAUAAAACCUCUCAGCCUCAGACCUUCCAUUGCCCCCCACCUCCCCACCAGGGCAGGGUCCAUCCUAGUGUGAGUGAACUGUUCUGGCGUCCCUGACUUGCCCUUUGGGA
rnacentral:lncRNA from 1 species